rnacentral:tRNA from 2 species
GGGUCCGUAGCUCAGUGGUAGAGCACCUGACUUUUAAUCAGGGUGUCGAUGGUUCGAUCCCAUCCGGACUCACCA